rnacentral:rRNA from 1 species
UGGGGAAUAUUGCACAAUGGGGGAAACCCUGAUGCAGCGACGCCGCGUGAACGAAGAAGGUAUUCGUAUCGUAAAGUUCUGUCCUAUGGGAAGAUAAUGACAGUACCAUAGAAGAAAGCUCCGGCUAAAUUCGUGCCAGCAGCCGCGGUAAUACGUAUGGAGCGAGCGUUGUCCGGAAUUAUUGGGCGUAAAGGGUACGCAGGCGGUUUAAUAAGUCGAAUGUUAAAGAUCGGGGCUCCACCCCGUAAAGCAUUGGAAACUGAUAAACUUGAGUUGUGGAGAGGGAAGUGGAAUUCCUAGUGUAGUGGGGAAAUACGUAGAUAUUAGGAGGAAUACCAGUGGCGAAGGCGACUUUCUGGACACAAACUGACGCUGAGGUACGAAAGCGGGGGGAGCAAAAAGG